CGUCGCCGCGCAAUAGACAAGAAGCGGAUUCAGUUAUCGAAAAGUGUCCCCAAGGGGCGAAUUGACGAGAUGCUCUCUUGCGGCAAAGACUACAUAGAGCCGAGCUACUUUGCGGAAGA
ensembl:ncRNA F09D5.3 ncRNA